rnacentral:rRNA from 1 species
AACGAACGCUGGCGGCAGGCUUAACACAUGCAAGUCGAACGCCCCGCAAGGGGAGUGGCAGACGGGUGAGUAACGCGUGGGAAUCUACCCAGUUCUACGGAACAACUGAGGGAAACUUCAGCUAAUACCGUAUACGCCCUACGGGGGAAAGAUUUAUCGGAAUUGGAUGAGCCCGCGUUGGAUUAGCUAGUUGGUGAGGUAACGGCUCACCAAGGCGACGAUCCAUAGCUGGUCUGAGAGGAUGAUCAGCCACACUGGGACUGAGACACGGCCCAGACGCCUACGGGAGGCAGCGGUGGGGAAUAUUGGACAAUGGGCGCAAGCCUGAUCCAGCCAUGCCGCGUGAGUGAUGAAGGCCUUAGGGUUGUAAAGCUCUUUCAGUGGGGACGAUAAUGACGGUACCCACAGAAGAAGCCCCGGCUAACUUCGUGCCAGCCGCCGCAGUAAGAC